rnacentral:lncRNA from 1 species
GGUCACCAAACUAUGUUCUAAGCACACCAAGCACUACUCUCUCUGUCUCUCUUGUUAAGUAAAAUUUAUAUAUAGCCUAGAUUAUUAACUUUGAAAGGCAUAAUUUUUAACUACAACCUAGUAUUAGAUAUCAAUUUGUCCCUUCAUUCUAGCAGCAAAAAGUUGUUAUUUAUCAUUUUCAAGAAAUCUCCUAAAAAAUAAUGCUACUAGCUAGUAUCUAAACAAAUGAAGGGAUUUAUAUCUAUAACUACUGAUACACCUAA